rnacentral:misc_RNA from 1 species
GAUGAAGAACGCAGCGAAAUGCGAUACGUAAUGUGAAUUGCAAAUUCAGUGAAUCAUCGAGUCUUUGAACGCACAUUGCGCCCCCUGGUAUUCCGGGGGGCAUGCCUGUCCGAGCGUCAUUGCUGCGCUCAAGCACGGCUUGUGUGUUGGGCCCCGUCCUCCGAUCCCGGGGGACGGGCCCGAAAGGCAGCGGCGGCACCGCGUCCGGUCCUCGAGCGUAUGGGGCUUUGUCACCCGCUCUGUAGGCCCGGCCGGCGCUUGCCGAUCAACCCAAAUUUUUUAUCCAGGUUGACCUCGGAUCAGGUAGGGAUACCCGCUGAACUUAAGCAUAUCAAUAAGCGGAGGA